UUGCAGUCCAAUUGCCACUAAAGUCAAAGAAAAGCAAGUGAGGUCCUCAAAUGUUCGGGAGAAACACUUCAGGGGCUCUGAGUCUGAUGCCAGCAAGGAGACAUCUAAGGAACAGCUGAGAUGAGGAAACGGAGAUACAGAGAAGUUAAAGAUUUGCCCAAGAUUACAUACUAAGACAUAAAGCUCAGGAGGUCAACCUUCAGAACCCACCUGCAUAACAACCAUGCUGUGCUAUGCUCUUGGGAGGCUAAUCUGCUGAGAAAUAACUCUCUGCCCCACAACCAUGCCAAAUGGUGGGUAUUUCCACUUUAAUAGUUCUGUGACUUUGCGCAUGAAUAAACACAUUCUCCCUGGA
rnacentral:lncRNA from 1 species